rfam:Tauraco erythrolophus contig134350, whole genome shotgun sequence.
GCAAGUAUAGUUUCAACCCAAACAUUAGAUUGUGAUUCUAAAAAUAGAAGUUAAACUCUUCUUACUCGCC